ACAUUUGGGCCGAACGACUUUGAACGCUGGCCACCGGACCAUCGAGUUCAACAACACAGAAAACCUGCGGGCGCUGAGGAAAUCCAGCAAACUCGCCUCCACCCAUCUGCACCGGUCCGAGAAGGACGUCAAAACGGACGUGGUGCGCCAGCACAAGAAACGGGGCACCAUCAAGGAGACUUGGAAGUCCAAACUGUCCAAAGGGGUGUUUGACCGACUGUACCGGCUCAAACUGCAUGUGCGGCGAGCUCACAACGUCACAGAGAACGUCAACCUCAUCACCAAGAAGGACGUCCGGUCCAGCACCCACAAGAGAGGGCCCCUCUUCCUGCCGCGCGGCAGAGCGGCGCACAAAGCAAUACAGGUUAUACCGGUCCGCAGGUCGAAAGAGAAGAAGGCACCAAACUAAAAUAAACGUAAAACUAAGGAGUGCAAGAAAUGUAAUGGUCUGGACAAAACACGUCUGGACGGUAAAUUAUGCAAUUCAUUAUGGAACAACAGUAGAAGCAGCGGGUGACGAUCAAUUUUGACAGUUUUUAUCCGACGGAAUCUUAUCGAGCGACUAGCAGUUCUUUUAUAGCAACAUGUAUGUACUGUCAACUGUGUUAGAGGCGAGGCCAUGCUGGAUUUAACGCCACAGGA